rnacentral:lncRNA from 1 species
AGAAUUGUGGUGUCUGUACCAAAUAAGGUUCUGAAAAUCAUGCCUGUUAGAUGUCACAUUUAGUUAACACAUCUGUUGGCAUCUUUGCUGUCCUCCUGGCCCCUGGUAUUUUUACAGGAAGAUCAAAGAUGGAUAUAUAUCAGGCCAGUUUUCAACAUUCUAAGUGUUCUGAAAACAACAAUGUAUUACCAACCACAAAGGAGCAAAAGGAAGGAAAAAACCUAGCCUAA